AUUGAACGCUGGCGGCAGGCCUAACACAUGCAAGUCGAACGGUAACAGGAAGACGCUUGCUUCUUUGCUGAUGAGUGGCGGACGGGUGAGUAAUGUCUGGGAAACUGCCUGAUGGAGGGGGAUAACUACUGGAAACGGUAGCUAAUACCGCAUAACGUCGCAAGACCAAAGAGGGGGACCUUCGGGCCUCUUGCCAUCGGAUGUGCCCAGAUGGGAUUAGCUAGUAGGUGGGGUAACGGCUCACCUAGGCGACGAUCCCUAGCUGGUCUGAGAGGAUGACCAGCCACACUGGAACUGAGACACGGUCCAGACUCCUACGGGAGGCAGCAGUGGGGAAUAUUGCACAAAGGGCGCAAGCCUGAUGCAGCCAUGCCGCGUGUAUGAAGAAGGCCUUCGGGUUGUAAAGUACUUUCAGCGGGGAGGAAGGGAGUAAAGUUAAUACCUUUGCUCAUUGACGUUACCCGCAGAAGAAGCACCGGCUAACUCCGUG
rnacentral:rRNA from 1 species